rfam:Arabis alpina cultivar Pajares scaff_68437_1_contig_1, whole genome shotgun sequence.
AACCCAUGAUGAGGGCAAUCCCUCUGAUAGCCCUUGAAUCUCUCCCACAAAGCCUUGAAUGCUUUACUUGGACCCUGAAUGAACGUGGAGAUUUUAGCUCUCAAGUC